AAAAAAUUGUACUUUUACAAAUUUAUCCUUUGGAAAAAAUCAGACAUAUGUGCAUAAGAAAUUUACUCUAGAGUAAUUUAUAAUACUGAAAAAUUGGAAACAAUUUAAGUGUUCAAUAAUAGAAGAUUGUUAGGAGGGUUUAAAUAUAUUAGAAUAUUAAGCAAUAAAAAUCAUACUACUAUUGACAUAAGAGAUUGUUCAUGAUAUAUAUCUAAGAGGAAAAAUACUAUUAAAUAGUAUUCGUAGUAUCCUACUUGUAUCUUUUAUAAAGCUAUAUUAGUGAAUAUACAUGAAUAACGUUAAAAAGACUUACAGAAAGUAUAAAUAGUGGGAUUAUUUGUGGUGAUGAAAUUAUGGAGUAAGUUCUCCUUCUUUGUGUUGAAAUGUUUUCCAACUUUUCUGCAUUGAGCUUAUAUAGGAGAGAAAAUGAUGUAUUUAAAGCAGAAAAUCCUAUAGAAAAUAGAUUUCUCUUUAUAUCACUUUUUUCCAAAAGAAUUUAUGAUAUGAUGCAUUUUGCAAAUACACUAAAUUAUGUCUUGCUAGAAUCCAAUAGGAUUUUCUCCCAGGUGCAAGUUUGGCUAAGGAUGAUACCAGAACCCUGGAGGCUUCAAACACUCUUCUUGUUUCAUUCUGUUCAGAAACAUGUCAACAUGAGGAAUGGCUGUGCCCACAUCUCAAGAAAUGACCUGUGGUUUAUAAUCCAGGUUCACCACAUCUCAACCACUCAACAGGCACCUGUGGCUAGAGGCUAAUGCAAUGGACAGCACAGGUGUAGACGUCAUCUUUAUGCAAAGCCACCGUAGGGCUAUAAUGAGGAAUGGGAUAUGAAGAUCACCCACGCUGCUCCGUGGAUAAUGGAUUUGAUGGGAAAAAGUGGGAACAGGGAAAUCAGAAAGGAGGAGAUCAUAGACUCUAAAGGAGACAUUAAGGUAAUGUCAGGGAGAAUAAACAGACUUCCGUGGAUUAUUCAGGAGGUAAAUGUAACCAUUUUGACAUGCACGUUAGCCUAAGCAGCAUCCAGACCCAAGAGCUACUUCACAAGGCAACAUGAUGUUUUCACUUCUUCCUAUCUGACCUCAUCAAGCUGGAAGCCCCAGACCUAGGUGAAAAGUCAAAUGGGUUUCCUAGAAGUCAGGCAGAGAAUGGUUUGGGGGAAUGGUGUGUUUGCUGUUUCGACCCUUUCUUCACCGUUCAGAGUGAGCUAGAAGAAUCAUCCAGAAAGUCUGAGAUGUUGCUGCUUUUUUUCACGCCUCUGUUGCUGACACACUGGAUCUAACAGGAGGAGACAGAGAAAACUGCUUCUUAGGGGUGAUUACAGUCAGAGAGGGGCUUGAAGAGACAUUCCCAGGCCCCAUAUUUCUUUUGCCACCAGUAACUUCCAAAUCAAAUGAGCUCAAGCUGCAGAUCAAAAUGAGAUUUUUCUUAUUGACUUCCCUGAAAGCUUAGCAGGCUCUCUGCAAAUCGAGUCAUGUGUAUCCUGCAUCAUCAUCAACCAUUGCCGAUUGCGGGGAUGUUGGAACUGGGCUGAUGUUGGCAAAUAUGUCACUGAUGCAUGAGGCCAGGGAAAAUCCAGCUCUUAUUGGCCUGGCAGUGCUGACCUGAUUUGUCCAUCAAUGAAGAGCAAAUGCAAUUUGCAAAACACAUAGAACUGAUAAGGGGUUACAACAAGGUGGGGCUGGAGUCACAUCUCUAAGAGCAGGCAUGCUUGAAGAGAAGACAAAGCAUAUUUCAAGCUCAAAAAGCUCAAAAUUGGAUAGGCAGUGUUUCUUACAGUCUGCUCUGUAUAUAUCACCUUUCUCAUAAUCACCUGAGGAGUUUGUUAAAAAUACGCAUACCUGGAUCUAACCCCAGGCCUGCUGAAAGGGAGUGUCUGGGGACUGGGUCUGGGGCACUUCAUGUUAAACAAGCUCCUGGAUGAUUCUUACACAUAUUAAAGUUUAAGAAUUCCUUGAGGAAAGAAAGCAGGACAAGAGUAUUUCCACUUGUUUUUUUUCGGUUUUUUUUUUUUUUUUUUGGAAAAAGUACUGAAUUUGGCAUCAGUCUACCUGAUCCUUUAUCCAGACAUGGCUGCCAACUGGCUGGAUGACAUCAUAGCAAGGAGAAAGAAAAUGGGAUGUGAAGUCAAAGGGGCACAGACCUACCUUCUUUGCAAGAACUGUGUGAUGGUGGUUAAUAGUUGAGCUUAGCCUCACUGUCAUCACUGGAAGAUGUAGACAUUGGCUCUGGUGAUCUUGAAAAGUCAAGCUCUAACAUACUAGCUCUGAUAUUCUAUUUCUUUAGAUCACCUAACCUCAGUUCCUUCAUCAGUAAAAUGGGCAGGGUAUCUUCCGUUUGAGCUAGGCUCUUUUGGGGAUUGAGUGAAACACUGUUUAUAUAUAUUUUUUUAAUUUUAUUUUAUCUUUUCAGUGUUCCAAGAUUCAUUGUUUAUGCACCACACUCAGUGCUCCAUACAAUAUGUGCCUUCCUUAAUACUCACCACCAGGCUCACCUAACCCCCACUCCAAAACCCUCAGUUUGUUCCUGAAAGGUUGACACAUACAUGAAGUGGUGGUAUGAACCUGAAAUAGAAUUACCUCCACUUAGGAUAUUAUUUGUCUUUAGACUAUUUCUAUACUGGUAAAGUCCCCAUAAAAGCAUAGUAUUUCUUUUUAAUAAAGCACAAUACAAAGUAAAAAAAGGAAAAUUUUUCUCAUUUACUAUAAAUUACACUAACAUGAAAUGGGCCAAAUUAACUUCUGCUGACUGUCUCUAACACAACCAUUAGCCUUGCAGAAACAAAGAAAUUCACUCCAAGAUAGUCAAGGUUUUCUGUCCACAUAUGCAAAAAACAACCUCAUUAAUGACUGUGCCUUAACUUGGCAUUGAAGUCUAUCAAUAAUUUGGCCACUGGCCCCCUUACAUGUAGCCAACACUAGCAAAAUUUCAAUACUUGAUAACAUGCCUUGUGCUUUUUACUUCACGACUUUGCAUUUAUCUCAUGCCAUAUUCCUGGCUUAAAAUGUCUUGCUUCUCAUCAUCUGCCUGUCAAACUCUUACCUAUAAAAAUAUCAUGAAUGUAUUCAAAUAUUUAAUUUUAUAUGUUGAGUUUGAGUCUGUGUAUAAAAUCAAAACAAACAUACAAACAAAAAUAGUUGAUAACCAAAUAUCCAACAGUAAGAGACUGAUUAAGUAAUACGGUCAAACAAUAGAGUACUAUAUACCAGCCAUAUGCUGUUGUAAAGAAUAUUUAAUGGCACGGAAAGAUGAUCAUGAUAUAUGGCUGAACAAAAGUACCAUUUAUAAAAUCAUCAGUAGGUACAAUAGAGAACAUAGGAGGAG
rnacentral:lncRNA from 1 species